rnacentral:rRNA from 1 species
UACGUAGGGUGCAAGCGUUAAUCGGAAUUACUGGGCGUAAAGCGUGCGCAGGCGGCUUUGCAAGACAGGUGUGAAAUCCCCGGGACUUCGAACCUGGGACUGCAUUUGUGACUGCAUCGCUGGAGUGCGGCAGAGGGGGAUGGAAUUCCGCGUGUAGCAGUGAAAUGCGUAGAUAUGCGGAGGAACACCGAUGGCGAAGGCAAUCCCCUGGGCCUGCACUGGACGCUCAUGCACGAAAGCGUGGGGAGCAAACAGG